rnacentral:ncRNA from 1 species
AAUUAUUGACGACCGGAAAUGGUUCCCGGCACACUUGUUUUACAAGUAUCUGGCAUGAUGGAUACACCGCCCAUUCAAUAAUU